UGGGUUUUGGGAGAGAGAGAGAGAGAUAGACAUUAGACAUGAGUCGUAAAGCUGCCGGCAUGCAUCAUCAUCAUCAAACCCACCAUCACCUCAACCACAACCCACUCACAUUCCUUUGCCCCCUAAUCCGUCUCCAAACUCUGCCAAAAUUCCCUCAUACUUUUCCCUUUUUUUAUACUACUAAUAUACCCAUACAUGAAAAUGUCAUAUAAUAAUUCUGUAUUCAAAUACCAAAAUGUGCUUUCCGCAAAAUCUAGGGCAUGCCUUUCACCUUUUUCCCCACUCCAAUAUGAUUGUUUAUAAACACACUGUAAUCUCUUUCCCAACACCCUGACCGAUUGUUUAGGCCGUUCCUCUACAUAGCUAGCCCAACCCAUGCAUAGCUCUCCGGCCGGUCACUUCCUGUCACAGCCCUGGCCAAAAUCUGAUGUAUCUUCUGCCAUGCAAGUUAGUUCACUGUGUUUCUCGGAAGCAAUCAUUGCAAAUGUAGACAGAACCUGCUAGCACGGAGUAUUAAUGCUAGUACGUCUUCCAAUCCAAGAGCUAGCACCCAAUUACAGUCAUGCGCAUUUCUCUGUGACGGGCAGUGUGUUGAUCAAUCAACUCCCAAGAAUAUAUUAUGAUUAUCAUCAGAAGAAUUAUUGCCCGGAGGAAUCCUCACUGCCAAAAUUAUGUGAAGUUUGGACGUUAUUAGUAUAACAUGAUGAAUAUAUAUAAUAUAUAUGUAUA